ACACUAUUCUUUUUUUUAAUUGAAAAAGAAUAGAAUUUUAUUAGGCUCACAUUCUGGAGGCACUAAGAACAUAGUGCUGGUCUCUGGUAAAGGUCUUCCUAAUGGCAUGAUAACAUCUCGGAGGGCAUCAUGUACUGAUGGAGCCAGCAUGCUAGCUAAGUUCUCUGUUCCUGUAAAGCCACUAAUGCCAUCCUAAUGACCUCAUCUAAUCCUCAUUAUCUCCCAAAAGUACCACUUCUAAAUACCAUAUGAAUUAGGGAAUUAAGUGUCUAACACAUGAAAUUUUAGGGAACAUAUUCAAACCAUACAAUAAUAGAGGGACCAGCUCAGUCAAAUACCAUGUUACUUAAUAUUACAAAGUUUAUUUCUAAAGCUCAUAAAAUAUAAAAUCUUCUGGUAGGCAGGUCACACUUUCAUAAUUGCAAAUUACCUGUGACUGGAAGAGUUAUUUAUGUAAACGUAUCCAGUGGGUGAAUUUUUAAGGGUCAAAAACAGGAGUGCAGACUGACUUUUUACUGAAUUCUAAAUUGUCUGUAGGCCUUACUGAAUGUAUAGUGUUUCUAAACAUAUAAGCAUCCCAAUCUUCUCUUGUCUUAAUGUCUUUCCUAGGUACUAUCCCAAAGGAAAGAUGUGAACCCUGGCAUAGCUUUCUUAUUUGAACUCUUUCUCCUUCGUGGGAAACAUGCCUGCCUUGGCCAGGCUGUGGGCUGGGCAGUCUUUCCCCUGUGUGAUAACAACUUGGACGUAGUGGAAGGAAAAUUCAAGUGUCCCCUUCUCCGAGGACAUUAUGACCGGAAAUCCAGAAGUUUUAGGAAAAUUGAAGAUUUGAUUUGCCUGGACUUGGACCACUGGCUGUGCAAUCUCUAUUAUCAGGUUUAUGUAUGGGGAGCUGACUCAUAAAGACACAAUUGAAAAGGUGUGGCAAACCUUUGAGAAAUAUAAGAUGAAUUCCUAUGAAAUUCUGAUGUACAAGACAAACAAAGCCCUAAAGGAUAUCACAGAAGUAGAAGUUGUGGAUGAGAAAAUGAGGAGAAGAUAGAACCAGAAAAGUGGCCAAUCCAAGGCCCUUCUCCCAGAAGUAUUCCACAGACUUCUCUCAGCUGAUGGAUUGUCCAGAGUUUGUGCAAGGACAAGCCUUUUGCUCACAUGCAGUCAGGGUGAUGAUCUACUGAUGCCCUGGAUGUCAUCCGAUGGAGAUGUUCAGUAUAGCAGGUGGCCCACUGAAAUGCAUUGUAAAUACUGGAACAAAUGGUGCUAUAGAGAUGGAAGCCACCAGACUGUCUUCUGUGUGAGAAUAUCCACUUCUGACCUCUGGGCUGCAUGACAGUGGAGAUGACCACCUGUGUCACUACCUGAGACACAGCUGAGAACCCCUGCUGACUUUCCAGGAGCUGCCUGUUCUUUUCUGUGUGGCUGGACUUAGACAGCAUGGCUACUUUUAUUUGAGGGGGAAGCUAAUUGUUAUCACUGUAGAAAUACUUAAAGGUUCUGUCUUUUGUUUCCAGGCAUAUGUACUUGUAUCCAAGUCAAUAAAGCAGAGACAGAAAGGAAUGUGUAGCAUUUCUCAGCUUUCCAGGCCUUUGGCUCUUGAUCUGCCCUUUGCCAUGGUGAACAUUGCAUAACUCACAUGUUAAGAUGUUUCAAUGGACUGUAAGAUUUAUUAAUGUGGUCAUUUAAGGGGUAAGAAAUUAAAUAAAUAAGCAAGGGUAUUUUUCCAAUAUUCUUUAAAAUGUAUUUUUGAUACAUCAGUAUAAAUCCUGCCCAUCAGAAAAAGCAUUAAUGAUGGAGAGUUUCACAGAAUUUUUUUAUCUCAUAUUUCUUUGUCAGCCAUGUACUUCUAAUUGCAGCAAGCAACUUGGGCAAGUGUUUUAAAAAGUUGAAGAAAUGUGUCAUUGUGUGGCUGCUUGUUUUUUAUAGAUAUAGUGGCUGAUUGUAAAAGUUAAAGUUAUUUAUUAUGUAAACUUGGGUUCAACAUGCCAUUUUUAACCAGCUUAUGAAGAAUCAUUGGUAAGAUGGAUAAUAUAGAAAAUACUUUUUCCACAGGAUAGUUAAUUUAGGUCAGUCAAGUUGGUGGUGCCUGUCCAUUAAUAUUUAUGUAUUGUUAAUAAAAUUACAAGAAUAAAAUCAUAAAAAAGAGUCAAUCUGGUCAACUUUAUGCUGAAAAAUUUUGAAUCAUGUAUCUAUUUAAAGAUUUCACCAGAAGCCAAAACUACAAAUGGUGCAUGAAAGCUAUGUAGAUGACUGUUCUUUCUAAUAAUGUGUAUCUUUGUGAUGCAUACAGAUAGACAAGCAGAUUUUUGAGAAUGGGUUAGUUCAGAAAUAGCACUGAUAAAACCAGAUUUUUUUGUAUGUAGGCUAACAAAAACAAAAUUCAGGCAUAUGUUAGAAACCAUUAGACUUCCAAAAUUCUGAAGGCAAGAAUUAAGGAUGUUGAGCCAUU